rnacentral:rRNA from 1 species
GACGAACGCUGGCGGCGUGCUUAACACAUGCAAGUCGAGCGGCGCGGCGAACGGGUGAGUAACGCGUGAGUAACUGCCCCCCUCUCUGGGGUAACAGUUGGAAACGGCUGCUAAUACCGGAUAGUGGGGGGUGCCUCGCGUCCCAUCAGCUUGUUGGUGGGGGAGGGGCCGACCAAGGCGACGACGGGUAGCCGGCCUGCGAGGGCGCACGGCCACCUUGGUCUGCGAGACGGCCCAAACGCCGACGGGAGGCAGCAGUGGGGAAUAUUGCACAAUGGGGGAAACCCUGAUGCAGCAACGCGGGUUCGUGAUGACGUCUUUCUGGUUGUAAACCGCGUUCAGCCAUGACGCGGUAGUGGCAGAAGAAGCACCGGCUAACUACGUGCCAGCCGCCGCGGUAAUAC